rnacentral:lncRNA from 1 species
CCCGCACUUCCAUGUCAGACAUCAUUUUCUCACAUUGCCCCUCUGCUGCUACCUAUCCUACAACAACAAAAUAUAAUGGAAUAUGGGUGGGAAGGUUCAACUUCUAUUGCCAUACCACCAACAUCCACCUCUGACAACGCUGACCAAUAAAAUAGGAGGCAGUACUUUUGAAGCAGCCCUCAUGUAAUUAAUAUUCACAGCAGCUUUUUGCUUUUUCUGCAGUGCCACGACCUUUGUGUGAAUUGCCUCUUCUGGAUGAGUCAUCAAUAAAUCACUGAUUAUGUCUGUUGGCUGUGGCAGCUUUCUCUGCUGACAGAUGCCUUCAGGGAGCAGCAUCAGUUCAGGGGAGAAGCAACAGCAUGGUGGUGCUCUGCAGAUUUAGGAGCACCCCAGGCAAUUGCAAUUGUGUUCUCCACCACUGAAAACCUUGUCUAAAGGGGCAACAUUUAUUGACUAUUCUCUCAUUGCACUAAAACUGAAAGGCUUGGAGAAAAUGAUGUGCCACGGUCUACUAUCUUCUGUGAUCUAUUGCUAAUUGUAACGUCGCACACCUUGUUGUGACGUGUGACAAACACAGUAUCUUGAGUGAAGCAUGGCUGCUGUUCCACAUCUUCCAGUGUGGUUGACUGUGAAGGGAAGGCCCAGCCCUGUCUACACAGGACCUGCUGAAUGAAGGAUGUUUUGCCCCUUACCUGCCUAAAAACCAGAUUAAGGCUUUCUAGCUACCUCCAGUCAUUUAGCAGGAGCCUUGAGUCCCAUCUUGCUGUCUUGAAUUGAGAUGUUGCAGUAAUAUCAGUGCCUGAAGUUAGGAACAGUCUCCUUACAGCUGCAGCAGAGGGAUCAGUCAGUCAGCUAUCGUCAAAACAAGCUGCAUGGAUAAAGCCUUACACAAAGUGACAGAAAACAGGGCACUGAGACAACAUGCUUAUCCAGCACUUCAGCCUAUGAAGUAUUUACCUGGACAAGCAAGAAUAGUAUCCGUUCCCUGGUCUGUAGCACAAAGUGGAACGACGGUGGAACCAUUUCAAAGUCAACUAUUCAGAAGAAGAAACCAUGGUGAAGGAAGUCCAGAAGGAGGCACCUAGUGCUACCAUAUUACUUGACUAGGAACAGAGAGCAGAGGGCACCAAGGUACAGAGAGUCAAUACAAACAAGGCUGUUAUGUUUUCUGUGGCCAAAGUUGCAUUGGCAUGGUCAUCUCUGCACAGCAGUGUAUGGCGGUGACAUCAUUAGUCAACUUUUUGACUAGAGCUCUUCGAACAGAUCCAGCUCUUUUAUCUCCACUGUUUUUACCAUGUCUCUGAAUGUCGGAAAAUAUGUUCUCAUCCCUCUUAAAAGAGAAACAGAAAACUGGAUCUUGAAUUUGUCUAAUUUCCUUGCUGGUAGCGUGAUCAACAUACAUCAGUGAACUUCUGACCAUCACACUGUUUAAUUGCUGCAGAAAAGCAGCCGUUCCCUUCCUGAAGCAGCACAGAGUUCCAUUUCACCUGGAUGCACACGAGCCUGUUUUCAGGCUUCAAAAUUUUUAACUGCACAGAUCACAAAAAACAAAAACAAAACAAAAAACAAACAAACAAAAAAAAGCUGUAAAUUCGAUGUUAUUCCUGCU